rnacentral:rRNA from 1 species
ACGCACGCUGGCGGCGUGCUUAACACAUGCCAGUCGAACGGUGAAGCGCCUUCCUUUUUGGUGGGUGUGGAUGAGUGGCGAACGGGUGAGUAACACGUGAGUAACCUGCCCCCUUCUUCUGGAUAACCGCAUGAAAGUGUGGCUAAUACGGGAUAUUCUGGGUCUGUCGCAUGAUGGGUCUGGGAAAGAUAUUGUUUCGGUGGGGGAUGGGCUCGCGGCCUAUCAGCUUGUUGGUGGGGUGAUGGCCUACCAAGGCGGUGACGGGUAGCCGGCCUGAGAGGGUGGACGGUCACACUGGGACUGAGACACGGCCCAGACUCCUACGGGAGGCAGCAGGGGGGAAUAUUGCACAAUGGGCGCGAGCCUGAUGCAGCGACGCCGCGUGAGGGAUGGAGGCCUUCGGGUUGUGAACCUCUUUCGCCAGUGAAGCAGGCCUGCCUCGUUUGUGGGUGGGUUGACGGUAGCUGGAUAAGAAGCGCCGGCUAACUACGUG